rnacentral:rRNA from 1 species
GACGAACGCUGGCGGCGUGCUUAACACAUGCAAGUCGAACGGAAAGGCCCUGCUUUUGUGGGGUGCUCGAGUGGCGAACGGGUGAGUAACACGUGAGUAACCUGCCCUUGACUUUGGGAUAACUUCAGGAAACUGGGGCUAAUACCGGAUAGGAGCUCCUGCUGCAUGGUGGGGGUUGGAAAGUUUCGGCGGUUGGGGAUGGACUCGCGGCUUAUCAGCUUGUUGGUGGGGUAGUGGCUUACCAAGGCUUUGACGGGUAGCCGGCCUGAGAGGGUGACCGGCGACAUUGGGACUGAGAUACGGCCCAGACUCCUACGGGAGGCAGAAGUGGGGAAUAUUGCACAAUGGGCGGAAGCCUGAUGCAGCAACGCCGCGUGCGGGAUGACGGCCUUCGGGUUGUAAACCGCUUUCGCCGGUGACGAAGCGUGAGUGACGGUAAUGGGUAAAGAAGCACCGGCUAACUACGUG